AUUCUGUUAUAUCCUUGAGCGAAGCAUUUUAGCUCAUGUUACUCCCAAAGCGCCACAAUACAAGCUACUAUCUCUGCUACUGUAAUUAGAUUGUUUAAUCGAAAACCACAAGGCUAUCGGGAAAAAUUCACGUUUUAAAGAGAAAAUAGGAAGAGUCGUCCUCUGCCUGUUCGAAGGUCUUCGCAUUCUGAUCGUGUUCGAACAAAUCUAAUCCUGUUCGAUAUGUUCGGCAGGAUUUCGCGAAUAACAAGACAAUCCAGGGACAAUAUGUCACACACAUGGUUUCAUGGAGUGCAGCCGAAUUGAACCUCACAUCCAAACAAGCGAGGAAUAACAAAAAAAAACAAGCAAUAAUCCUGUGAGGGGAUGGAAGAAUAAGAGGCAGAGACUGACAGUCUAUUGAUCAGACAGACGGGUGAACGAGUGAUUAUGGAGGAGUGUGACCCGCCAGCUCUGUCGGGUGUGUAGCGUCGUGUACCUUGGUGAAGUUGAGCGCGUUAGCAUGCAACAAAAGGCCUGCCAUGCAGAGGGAAUCUUUGAGUUUCGCCGACAUUCUCAUGAAUUAUUAAACUCCCCUCAGGUAAUGACACUGCCAGACAUACACACACAUAUAUACACACACCAAGGUUGAGAAAGAUUUGAUAUGAAACUAAGUGCUGCGUGAUUUCUCCUCCUCCACCGAGUUGCCGCAACGUAGUUUCCCUCAUGGCUCAGGAGUGACAGGCUAAUUUGGCUGCUCUUGACCAAGCGCUUUGAGGCCUAAGGCGCCAUGUUGGACUGCACCUACUCUCUUACGACAACCAUUAUGAUUCCAAAAUCGCUCUUUAUUGAAUAAUGGAUCACCAGAGUGGAUCACCACUACAUGAGGUGGCACUUUGCAGUGUGCGGCAAUAUACACUCAUGAAAACAACCUGCAUUUAUCCAGUCAGACAUCAGUUUAAUGCAUGGAAUCAUGCGGAUACUGGUUAAGAGCUUUAGUUUAAUGUUGAGUUCCUGAAUCUGGAGAGAAAGAGAGAAAAAUCAUUUCAGCAGUGACAUGGUUGUUGGUGCCAGACAGGUUAGAAUAUUUUUAGUAACAAAAAAAACUUCUGUGGAUGGAAAUGCCUUGUUUAUGAAGGAGGUCAGGAAAGCUCUUCCACAAUAACUUAAAUAUCCACUCUUUACAUCUCUGGGAAACAGAAAAGCAUCUUAGCUCUGUUGUUAAGCUUGGUAACGUGAGUUACUGUAGCUUUUCAGGAGUCAGACCAUUCUCCUCUUGAACUUUCUUAUCCAUUAAGCAUUUUUCCCCAAGAACUGAUCUUUAUGAACAUUACAUUAAGCUCUUGGCAUGUAAAUAGUCCAUAAGUGCUAUAUAAAUACUGCACCCAUUUUCACUACAGUACAUUGCACACAGAGGACAUUAGUCCAUAUCAACCUACAGUAUAUAAGAGGCAAGGGAGCUGCAAAGAAUUGAAGGAAAUAGGACACAUCCAAAGCUUUCAUAUUCUCAAAUACCAAAAACAUGAGUAUUCAUUUCAAAUGUACAAAUGGCUCUUUCUUGGAUAGUGAGAGGCUGUAAUCACACUACUCUACACUAUUUAUGUGUAGAAGCCUGCUAUUUUACUGAAGCUCACUUAAAUGUGUACAUACUUUCUGUACCAGUUGCCUAUAUAUGCCUAUAUAACUACAACAAAAUGUGCAAGCUAAAAAAAAAAGGUGAUUUAUACCACUAGUGUGUAUUGCUUAGAUAUAUAUGGAUUGAUAUGGAUAGAAGGUAGUGAUUAAUUAUCUAUAACAACUGCACUGGCAAGGCAAAUAACAUGACUAUAUGAAUGAGCUUGUUCUAAUGCGUGUAUAUAAUAUAUUUCAGUUUUUUAAUUAUUAUCAUAAUGUUUUUACCAGUGCUUUUGUGAUCUACUCAAUAACUGUUGCACAUAUUCACACUGUCAUUUAUU